AGAGGCGCGGGGUCGCCCCGCGCGCGUUCCCUGCGGCCGCGCCGCGGCAGCGCCCGGGGCCCGCCGGCCUCUCUAGCCACCGUCGCCUCGAUGGUGGGCAGCCGCGCGCAGCCUCCAGUGCCAGGCGGGGGCGCCGGUUCCGCAAUCCGCUGCGUGCGGGGAUGGGACUGCUUCGCUGGCAAGACUGCGCCGAGAUCUUCGGUUGCUUGAGCCUCAGGGAUUGCCAUCUGGUGGGGACGGUCACCGAAGGACACGGGGUCCCCUCACGGGCUCUGGUGCUCCGCACCCGGUGGAGCGGCAUUGCUUUUUCCCCCGCCCCCUCACCUGGCCUCAGGUUCGCCAAACGUUUUCAUUUUGUAGCGUCUUUUCGACAGGCAUCCCGGAGAGGCUUAAUGCUGUUGCCCCAGUGUCCUUCCUUCUAGAGGGAAGGAAAAGAAGAAGAUAAGCCAUUCUGCCUGAUAAACUGAGGCGAAUAAUGGAGAGCACAGGAGGCUUCACAACACAGUAUACUUGUAUGCAUGCUGCUAAAGGUGUCCUACUUCCUCUGAGAGAAUGUCCAUAUAAUGGCUGGAGCUCCAGCAGCCGUCUUGGACCAUAAGGUAGAAGCCACAUGCUGAUAGUGGAGCAGAAAGAGAUGCUGUGGAGCUAUUAUACCAUUUCAGGACUAUCUUCCUCCAGACUUUUUCAUAUGAGAGGGAAAUAAACUUUAACCUUGUUUAA